rnacentral:rRNA from 1 species
ACUACGGGUGGCAGCAGUAGGGAAUCUUCCACAAUGGGCGCAAGCCUGAUGGAGCAACACCGCGUGAGUGAAGAAGGGUUUCGGCUCGUAAAGCUCUGUUUUUGGAGAAUAACGUGCGUGAGAGUAACUGUUCACGCAGUGACGGUAUCCAACCAGAAAGUCACGGCUAACUACGUGCCAGCAGCUGCGGUAAAACGUAGGUGGCAAGCGUUACCCGGAUUUAUUGGGCGUAAAGCUAGCGCAGUCGGUUGCUUACGUCUGAUGUGAAAUCCUUCGGCUUAACCGAAGAAGUGCAUCGGAAACCGGGCGACUUGAGUGCAGAAGAGGACAGUGGAACUCCAUGUGUAGCGGUGGAAUGCGUAGAUAUAUGGCAGAACACCAGUGGCGAAGGCGGCUGUCUGGUCUGCAACUGACGCUGAGGCUCGAAAGCAUGGGUAGCGAACAGGAUGAGAUACCCCGGUAGUC